AUAAAGUUGUUCUCAGUUCGGAUUGUAGUCUGCAACUCGACUACAUGAAGCUGGAAUCGCUAGUAAUCGUAGAUCAGCAUGCUACGGUGAAUACGUUCCCGGGUCUUGUACACACCGCCCGUCACACCACGAGAGUUUGUAACACCCGAAGCCGGUGGAGUAACCUUUUAGGAGCUAGCCGUCGAAGGUGGGACAAAUGAUUGGGGUGAAGUCGUAACAAGGUAGCCGUAUCGGAAGGGGCGGCUGGAUCACCUCCUUUCUAAGGA
rnacentral:rRNA from 1 species